AUGUGUUUAAGUUUGUACUGAGUUCCCCUUCCACAUAUUAGAAGAGGAGCCAGGUCAGUAGUAUAAGUGACAGGCUUUCAAGGUCAGGUAACCAGACCUGAACUGAAUGUGACAGGCCCAGAGCUCAGGGCUCUUCUCACUUUGCGACUUCAACAGAAAGACUCCAGCACAAGAGUUCACAGGGACUUCUGUCCCCAAGGAUGUAAGGGAACCUCUGGUGAGGGCUAUAAUUCAGAAAAAAAUGUAUGCAGGGCACAUCUUUGGGACCAGUGUGAGUGGAUGACAACACCAGAACACUAGGCGGACCCAGAUUGAGGAUUGACUGGGGGAUAGUGCCUGGGCAGAAGUCAUGCUAUUCAUGAGGACUCUUCUGUUAGGUUUUUUUGAUGCAGUUGAAAGACAAAGACAUAAGGAAAAAUGUUCAUUGCAGGCACAGGAGGUUGCUGGGGACUGCAAGGACGCUCACAAAGGUGGAUCUGGGAAACAGCUGGAAAACAGCAGAAAGACAGGUGUCUGAUUGCAAGAGUACAGACUGUUUUUGGCACUCUUGAAACAGUAGCCUAUGGCCUUAGUUCAAGGGGGCUGUCACAGGACACACAUUGUGGGUGUGCAGCUACUGUGCCCCCACCUCUGGCAGUCCUGUUUUUUUUUUUUUUUUUUUUUUUUUUUUUUUUUUGUCUUUUUCAUUUUUAUCGGUACCGGGGAUCAAACUCACGACCGCCUGCUUGCAAGGCAGGUGCUUAUGCCGCUGAGCUAAACCCCCAACCCCUAGUCCUGUUUUGAAACUAAAACACAGAAAACUGGGGCUGGGGAUUUAGCUCAGCGGCAUAAGCGCCUGCCUUGCAAGCAGGCAGUCGUGAGUUCGAUCCCUGUUACCGAAAAAAACAAAAAAAUAAAAUAAAACACAGAAAACUGUACAAAACACCCAAGGAAUUUGUGGAGUGGAGAGGGUGGUAGUUGCCGCCAGACCCACUGAAUGCAGACGCUGCCAAGGGAGGGAAACGCUGUGACGGGAGCGUCGGCCGAGGGGAGUGGAGGUGUUCUAUGUGCCCGGGGAUGACAUGUGGCUGGGUGGGUGGGUGGAUGGAUGGAUGGAUGGAUGGAAGGCAUGGUGGGGUGGGGUGGGGGUUGGGGGAGGGCUUCCCUCCUGCAGAUGUCCGGUGAGAUGGCCGGCUGUCCUUGGGGAGGCGGUUGAAGACCUGUUGCUUCUUUGCGAAAACCCAAGAUGGUGCUCCCAUUCUGACCCUGCACCUUCCUGCCGCCCCAGGUCUCCUGCUGCUCCUGUCCCUGCAGUGUGUCCCUUCUCAUGUUCCCCGUUCCUGUUUCCCGUGGGAGCCAGCCCACCCGCCUAGUCACUGGCCCGGAUGGUCCCAGUAAGGGCUUAAGCCACUGAGCUAAAUCCCCGGUCCUAUAUUCAAGUUUUGUCCUGGGAAUCAAACUCAGGGCCUCAUGCUUGCCAGGCAGGUGCUGUGCUGCAGAGCUAUAUCCCUGGCCCGUGGCCUUCCUGUCUCUCACUGCCAUGGCCUGGCGGGUACCUAGGGGUGUCCCUGGACUUGGCUUUCUGCCAUUUAUUGAUUGAUUAAUUGAUUGGUACUGGGGAUUGAACUCACGACCUCGAGUUUGCCAAGCAGGCACUUAUGCCGCUGAGCUAAACCUCUGUGGCCCGAGCUAAACCCUCGGCUCUCUGUCUUUUUUUUUUUUUUUUUUUUUCAUUUUUACCGGUACCAGGGAUCGAACUCACGACCGCCUGCUUGCAAGGCAGGUGCUUAUGCCGCUGAGCUAAAUCCCCAGCCCCUGCUCUCUGUCUUUUAAUACAGUCAGUCACAGGGUCUCUGUGUGUGGUACAGAGUGGCUUGGAAUGAAUGAAUGAAUGAAUGAAUGAAUGAGUGAAAGAAAGAAAAAAAGAAAGAAAGAAAGAGAAUGAGUGAAAGAAAGAAAGAAAAAGAAAACAAA